UACAGAGGGUGCGAGCGUUAAUCGGAAUCACUGGGCGUAAAGCGCACGUAGGCGGCUUCUUAAGUCAGGGGUGAGAUCCUGGAGCUCAACUCCAGAACUGCCUUUGAUACUGAGAAGCUUGAGUCCGGGAGAGGUGAGUGGAACUGCGAGUGUAGAGGUGAAAUUCGUAGAUAUUCGCAAGAACACCAGUGGCGAAGGCGGCUCACUGGCCCGGUACUGACGCUGAGGUGCGAAAGCGUGGGGAGCAAACAGG
rnacentral:rRNA from 1 species